rnacentral:rRNA from 1 species
CAUAGCGACUAUCGUGGCAUAUCAAUAAGCGGAGGAAAAGAAACUAACAAGGAUUCCCUUAGUAACGGCGAGUGAAGCGGGAAGAGCUCAAAUUUGAAAUCUUCAAGGUUUUACCUUGACGAAUUGUAGUUUAAAGAAGUGUUUUCUGUUGGAGUUUUGGCAAAAGUUCUUUGGAAUAGGACAUCAUAGAGGGUGAGAAUCCCGUAUUUGACCAUUAUUUCCAGCUGUGUGAUACACUUUCAAAGAGUCGGAUUGUUUGGGAAUGCGGUCCAAAAUGGGUGGUAAAUUUCAUCUAAAGCUAAAUAUUGGCGAGAGACCGAUAGCGAACAAGUACCGUGAGGGAAAGAUGAAAAGAACUUUGAAAAGAGAGUUAAACAGUACGUGAAAUUGUCAAAAGGGAAGCGUUUGACACCAGUGUUGUUUUUCCGAAAAUCAAUUACGAAUGUUUUAUUUUUGAGGAAGUUAUGACUUCAUCGGCUUGCUCUCUUCUUUAUGAAACUUUCUUAAUGCACUUUUCGGUUAACAAGUCAACAUCAAUUUCUUUUGUUGUAAAAGGGUAUGAGGAAGGUGGCUUUCUUUUCGGAGAAAGUGUUUAUAGCCUUGUACCUCUGCAAUCGGAGAGAUUGAGGUCUGCAGCGUAGAUCCUUCGGGGUUAGAUACAUUUGUGCUAAGUUAUAGCUUUUCAUAGACAACUUGUUGACUAUGUUUAGUCUUGUAGCUUACUCGCUUAUGCUAUUUUACCUACGCUUAGGAUGUUGAUAUGCAUGACUGAUAU